GCUGGGGACAUGGCUCAGUGGUAGAGUGCUCACCUAGCAUGUGUGAGGCCUUGGGUUCCAUCCCCAGCAGCA
rnacentral:tRNA from 1 species